UCUGAAGGAGAAAUACUGAAACUCACUCCCGGAGACGGGACUCACUCCCGGAAACUGCUUCCGGGUAGGCAGGAAACGGAGAGCUCGAGUGGGGCGGGGCCUGGUGGGUGUGGGCGUGGCACCCCCGCCCCACCCCCGGGGCGUUUCCGGUCCGGAAGUGCCGCCGCCCGUGGAAGUGGAGUCUCCCGUCUCCCGCCGCGCCCGCGGGAGCCUGUUGGGCGUCCGCCCUCCUUCAGGUUAAACGUUGACGCUGCUUUAAUGUAAAAGCUUGGAGUUGUGAGGCCACUUAUAUUGAAUGCGGAGAUCUUUCCUUCUCAAAACAUGGAAAAGAUUUAAGUCCAAAACCCUUUUGAGGAGCGUGUCACACGGGUCCUGUGACACCGUUAGGACAAGUGUGAGGGACGCCCUGCGCCUUGUGAGACGAGGAAGAGGGAGCUCGGCGUCUGUCUGUCCAGGCAGGACGAAGAAGCGCGGCUUGCUCACGGCGGGACAGAGCGCCUGCAAGUCCGAAGGCCUCAGAAUGAAGCCUGCCCUGCCAGCACCUCGGCCCUGGACCUCCCCGACUCCAGGGCUGAGCCGCCUGGUCUGUGGUAUUUGGCUGUGGCAGCACGAACUAAGACAGAUUUCCAUAGUGAAUAAAGACCUGGGUCAUUCCACCAGGUGAGGAACCACGACCAGGUGCUGGCUGACGGGAAAGGAUCGUAGAGCCAACAGCGGAAGAGCAAAAUGGUGUCAGUUCAGCUCGGCAGCCUCCAAUCUUAUCUUCAAAGGAAAGGCAUUCGACUUCGCAGCGACCAUCCAUUCUCUGACAGUGUAGUUGUCUUUGAAAUCCUCCUCUGGCUAAGUGAAGAAAACAGUCGGUCUUCAGUUAUCCAGUACUGAAUUACUGGAAGGCAAAAUUCCACCACUCAGGCCAAGCCAGAACUCCACACUACCGAAUCUCAUGGCGACACAGAGUGUAAGUGUAGACAGCAGAAAAGCAGAUGUGACCUGAACAGCUGUGUCUGAGCUCGGAUCCCUGGUUCAGUAUAUACAGGGUGCUUCCUUUGUACUCAAGUAGAAAAACCAAGAAAGGGUUCCCUCUGCUAUAAUCUUUGUUGGACAUAGAGAAACAGUGUUUCUUCCUGGGGCGGGGGGAGACAAUAUCCUUUCUAAUUCCAAUAAGCAGUCUUUUGCAAUAAAAGAUUUUUUUCCUGUCUCCAAAAUAAUAGUCUCUUGUAUAUAACAAAAGGUACAGAGUGUGCUAUUUACAGUGGAGGCAGGGCAAUGGCAGCCGUGUGCCUUGGGCAUGUGGUUGUGGAGUGUCACAGUUUGGGGGUAAAGCUUCAGUAUUUUCUUUGGUAUUAAAAGAAGCACAGUACGAACCUGCUCUGCCAGUGACGUCUGCAGAAUAACGUGUUUAGCUCUGACAAGCCGUGUGAGAGAGGCAUAGACACUGUGCAUUCAUUCAGGACAAAGAAACUAAGCUGAAGAGAGUAAAAUACUUUAAGAGACAAUGACUAGGGAAAAUGGUGAUGUGUAUUCCCUGGAGAAAUCAUAGGAAGAACUGGCAGUUGCUCUCAAAAGGUGUAAUACUUAUUCUCGGAGAGAACGGCUCUGGGGCGGGGAAUGUGUGCACAUUAGCCGUCGUCUGUCUCAGACACUACCACACUGAAGGCUCAUUAAUGCCCAAGGUGGGGCUAAUCAGUGGGAAAAAAAUCACAGGAACUGAGAUUUCUGCUCGGAGUAAAGGGAAACAUUUUAAACAGUCCAAAGUUGAACGCAGGAUACUGUGAGUAACAGAUCACUGAAAUUUAUCCAGCAUCAGGGCAAUCAAUCAACAUCUUCAGGGAAAAAAAAGAUCAGUCUUCAGAAAAAGCCCUAUUAUUAUUUCCAUUUAUUGGAAAUAAGUUGAAACCCAGAGUUCAUACAUCUUACAAGGUUUGAAACUGAGGUUCAGCCUCAGAUAUUUUGGCAUAAUAGUCUGUGUUCAUUUCCUCUUUUAUUGAUCAUGAAACUCACUUCCAGCACUGAGAGUGUCUGUGGUUGUGGUGGUGGUGGUCCUAACGUGUGUCCACUCUGUGCUGCUUACUGAGUCAGACGGGCCUGAGCUGAGUUUUGGGGACAGGGAGCCCCUAAGUAUCUGCUUCCCUACAUUGGUUUGAAUCACUUGGAGUCCUGAUGAAAGGAGAUGGAGAGGACAGAUAAAAUUUCUUUCUCUACUCUGGAUCCAUUGUCUGACCUCCCAGGAAACAGACUGAGGGCAAAAGUUAUUUUACAAGAGAGGCUGUGAAACACGAGGGCAGUAUUCCUCAGGUCUGUUCCUUCUUUCUAUUCCUGCCUGUUUUCAAAAGUGCAAUGGAAAUGACCACCUCCCAGGAAGUCCUUCUUGUUCCCCCAGUUAGAACCGAACUUCUAUUUCCAUGGCUUCUCUUAUUUUUCACCUUCAUCGCACGUAUGAGAACUGUUUUGUAUCAUAGUUCUUUGUCCAUCUGUCUGUCUCAUCCAUUCACUAUAUACACUUUAAAUUAUCAAGUGCCUGUUUAUUAUUAUAGGCAACCUAUUUUUGACCAACACAGAAAUAAAAGACUAAUAAACUUUAAGCAAAUUAAGAGCAAAGACCAUGAUCUAAUGUUCACCUCCACUUUACCUCCCUUUAUUAUAGGAUGUUUAUAUAUAAUUAUAUUAUAUAUCAUUACAUUCCAGAACAAUUUCUCGUUAAGUGAUAAGCACACAUUCAAUAGCUAUUGACCGGCUAGCCUUCUGCAGCAAGAUUGUGUAAUAAAUAAGUGUAGAAAUUCAGAAACCAUAAGGAAGAAAUAGACAGGAUACCUCAUGGUGCAUGGACAGUCCCAUCGGGAAAGGCUUCAUAACAGGAGGAAUGAAGGAUAGUUGAGGAGGGAAUGGAGGUAAAAGUUUAUUAGAGAUGGGUUCUUGGCUGAAUUGAGCAAAGACAGCCCAGUUCAAAGGACUUAAAAGAAAACUAAUCAAGAUGUUAAUGUUUGAAGUGAUGUGAUUUUCCAGCAGUAUAUGAGAGCUAGAAAGUCCAAGAUCAUCUAAGGUUAAGAGAUUCAUGAGAUUCAUUUAAGAGAUUCAUUUACCAAUUAGUGGAACAUGAAAAAAUAGACUGGUAAGAACCUGUUAUUGUAAGUUUGAUUUCAUUUAGGCUGUAAAUGCUGUUCUUCUCUGAAUUAGCAAGUGUCGUCUGCCUCUUGAGAUUUUUUUCUCAUUUUAAAACAAUCAUUUUGUCAUACACUGAAGCUGGGUCAAAGAUUACAGAAUGAGGAAACAGAUCUAAAUGAAAAGGGAAAUCUGAACCCGUUGGUAGAGCUUUUAGGGAAAUUAACUAGAUAUUCUUCUGGUUGGAGGUGGUCUGGAUCAGGGUGGUCCCAUUAAUAUGUGUCCAAACUUAGGAAAAGAUUUCCUGUAACUAGUUUGUUUCUGAGAACUUUUUAGGAUAUAGGACUGAAUCAAGUACUUUUCUGAAAGAUGAGCUUUCUUCUCAAAAGACAGACCCUGAAUAGAUUUUGCCUCAAAAGACAUCCUUAUAUCUAUCAAGAUUUCUCUCUUACCUGAGAAGAUUUGAGCAAGAAGGAUGAUGGCAGCAAGAAUAAAGGAAAAGAUUUUCAUGGCUCCGGGAAUCAGUGGGGAGAGGCUGAAGGAGGCACGGUCACUGGAGUCUGACUCUUAUCAAGGGAAAUUGAUUAAAGCAAGUUCUACAGCUCUGAAAAAGCCAGGAGUUAUUUUUGGUUUUUAAUGCUCACUAAGAAUGAAUUAUUUUCCAUGCUCCAUUGCAUAGUGUGUAGGCUGAUGGGUCAGAUUUUACCUAAAUAAACGCUGAUGAGACAGUAAGGAAAAUAACCCGGCUCCUUGCCUGGAAUUCUCUAGUCUGCACCUCCAUCCAGGCUGCUCCUGUGUUCCCUCAGUUCCGUCUCAAGUACCACCACUUCCGUAACGUCCGUAACCGCCGUCUCUUCUUCUUCUCUGAGAUUGUGUAUGUCACUUACUCUUCUCUAAGAGUCACUCAAACAUUAUUGAUUGGUGCCUGUAUAAUUGGUUUUUUAAGAUUAUACUCUAUGACAAAUUUUCAUCUCCCAAUUAUACUGUAAGCUCCAUAAAGGAAAAUAACUUUCUUCUCAUCUGUUUUCUUUCCGUUUAUGCCCUGCAACAGUGCUUUGUAACAGUAGGUGCUCAAAAUAUAUGUAUUUGACUUAUUGAUAGUUGUCCAGUUAGAGGAACCCAUGAAUAAUCAAGCAAUUAAUAUGGGAAUAGUAAUGAAAUGUUCAAAGGUUUUGCAUAUUAAGGAUAAUCAUGUUAUUAUUAAAUAUGACCACAUUUUGUAUUUUAUGGGAAUAGCAUUUUUUUGACAAAUGUGUGUUGGACAAUAAAUACCAUGUGUACUUAUGUUAACAAGAAAUUAAUUAAUGUUAAUGGACUGGAAAUUCUCAUUAAAGGCAGGAUUAAUCAUCAGGUGGAUUAAGUGGGAAGAUGAAUCCGUGUGUUGUCUAUAAAGGAUGCAUUUCUCCAAGAAACUUUUUGUCUCUUGAGUUAAUUAUAAGCUCACAAUAAAUUGCAAAAAUGGUA